UUGUCCUGGCCUGUGCUCUCUGCUCCCCUGUGCUCAGCUAUAACAGGGGAGUGUGGCAGGACACACAGCAACUUCCCUCUCAGUUUAGGAGAGCUAUCCUAAGAAUGGGACUGGCUCUUAAAGGCACGAGAGGACAGC
ensembl:scaRNA